AGCUAGUUGGUGAGGUAACGGCCCACCAAGGCAACGAUCGGUAGCCGGACUGAGAGGUUGAACGGCCACAUUGGGACUGAGACACGGCCCAGACUCCUACGGGAGGCAGCAGUGGGGAAUAUUGCACAAUGGGGGAAACCCUGAUGCAGCGACGCCGCGUGGAGGAAGAAGGUCUUCGGAUUGUAAACUCCUGUUGUUGAGGAAGAUAAUGACGGUACUCAACAAGGAAGUGACGGCUAACUACGUGCCAGCAGCCGCGGUAAAACGUAGGUCACAAGCGUUGUCCGGAAUUACUGGGUGUAAAGGGAGCGCAGGCGGGCGAUCAAGUUGGAAGUGAAAUCCAUGGGCUCAACCCAUGAACUGCUUUCAAAACUGAUUGUCUUGAGUAGUGCAGAGGUAGGCGGAAUUCCCGGUGUAGCGGUGGAAUGCGUAGAUAUCGGGAGGAACACCAGUGGCGAAGGCGGCCUACUGGGCACCAACUGACGCUGAGGCUCGAAAGUGUGGGUAGCAAACAGGAUUAGAUACCCUGGUAGUCCACACCGUAAACGAUGAUUACUAGGUGUUGGAGGAUUGACCCCUUCAGUGCCGCAGUUAACACAAUAAGUAAUCCACCUGGGGAGUACGACCGCAAGGUUGAAACUCAAAGGAAUUGACGGGGGCCCGCACAAGCAGUGGAGUAUGUGGUUUAAUUCGACGCAACGCGAAGAACCUUACCAAGUCUUGACAUCCUGCGACGGACAUAGAAAUAUGUUUUUCCUUCGGGACGCAGAGACAGGUGGUGCAUGGUUGUCGUCAGCUCGUGUCGUGAGAUGUUGGGUUAAGUCCCGCAACGAGCGCAACCCUUAUGGUCAGUUACUACGCAAGAGGACUCUGGCCAGACUGCCGUUGACAAAACGGAGGAAGGUGGGGAUGACGUCAAAUCAUCAUGCCCUUUAUGACUUGGGCUACACACGUACUACAAUGGCGUUAAACAAAGAGAAGCAAGACCGCGAGGUGGAGCAAAACUCAGAAACAACGUCCCAGUUCGGACUGCAGGCUGCAACUCGCCUGCACGAAGUCGGAAUUGCUAGUAAUCGCAGAUCAGCAUGCUGCGGUGAAUACGUUCCCGGGCCUUGUACACACCGCCCGUCACACCAUGAGAGCCGGGGGGACCCGAAGUCGGUAGUCUAACCGCAAGGAGGACGCCGCCGAAGGUAAAACUGGUGAUUGGGGUGAAGUCGUAACAAGGUAGCCGUAGGAGAACCUGCGGCUG
rnacentral:rRNA from 1 species